CAGUAGCCACGGUAAUACGUAGGGCGCAAGCGUUAUCCGGAAUUAUUGGGCGUAAAGAGCUCGUAGGCGGUUUGUCGCGUCUGCCGUGAAAGUCCGGGGCUCAACCCCGGAUCUGCGGUGGGUACGGGCAGACUAGAGUGAUGUAGGGGAGACUGGAAUUCCUGGUGUAGCGGUGAAAUGCGCAGAUAUCAGGAGGAACACCGAUGGCGAAGGCAGGUCUCUGGGCAUUAACUGACGCUGAGGAGCGAAAGCAUGGGGAGCGAACAGGAUUAGAUACCCCGGUAGUCCCUGUCUCUUAUAC
rnacentral:rRNA from 1 species